rnacentral:rRNA from 1 species
UUGACGGGGCCGCACAAGCGGUGGAGCAUGUGGUUAAUUCGAUGCAACGCGAAAACCUUACCACCUUUGACAUGUACGGAAGCCUUUAGAGAUAGAGGCGUGCUCGAAAGAGAGCCGUAACACAGGUGCUGCAUGGCUGUCGUCAGCUCGUGUCGUGAGAUGUUGGGUUAAGUCCCGCAACGAGCGCAACCCUUGUCAUUAGUUGCUACAUUCAGUUGGGCACUCUAAUGAGACUGCCGGUGACAAGCCGGAGGAAGGUGGGGAUGACGUCAAGUCCUCAUGGCCCUUAUAGGUGGGGCUACACACGUCAUACAAUGGCUGGUACAAAGGGUUGCCAACCCGCGAGGGGGAGCUAAUCCCAUAAAGCCAGUCGUAGUCCGGAUCGUAGUCUGCAACUCGACUACGUGAAGUCGGAAUCGCUAGUAAUCGUGGAUCAGAAUGUCACGGUGAAUACGUUCCCGGGUCUU